UCCCGGGCCAUAUACACUCUUAUUUGCUCAACAGUAUAAAUCUUUCAGCAGACUACAGAUGAGCCCAUUGCACUUGGGGACGGGGAAGGGAAGGAUGUCACAAUGUGCUGAGUGACACCAGCCUGUGGAGCAUCUUGGGUUCCCCUUAGGAGAGCAUUUCUUGACCAGAAGCAUCAGUGGGCUCCUUCCUGGGCUGCUCCUACAGUGCAGAGGGAGAGCUCACAUCGACAGAGGAUUUGAUGCCUGAGAGACGCCUAUCACUGCUGGCCAGCACUUCUGUGCCCCUUAAAUGCUCUUUUGAGGCUGUAAAUCUUGUUCUGACAGAUACAGACAAGUUUCCCCCACCCCACCCCCCGCUGGUUAAGUCCCUUAGGCAGGAUGAGGCUCAUCUGUGGAGGGAGAGGGCAUUUGAUGGAGAGCGACUGCAUGUGCAAGUCAUUGCUUUAGAGGGAUCUGUUUUCAGUUGCUGCUGAGACAAACUUACCAGUCAAAAUAUUGCAGCUUUUCAAGUCCAAGUCAGCAACAUUUCCUGUAAGCAGUGUUUUACAUUGUAUUUUCAUGAGUCGCUUUUGUGAUUGUCUCAAAACCUUGGUAAAGAGAGCUCUGUCAUUAAUUUUACUCUUCUAUUCAAUGCUGGCGAUUCGUACAUUGUGCCUGUCCAGCGCAAACCAGGAAGUUUUAUUUGACAGUGUUGCUGCUGUGCUGCAGGAAACCCAAAGAGCAGAAAAAGCCAUUGUUUUGUGCUUAGAUGAACUCAAUGCCAGGCACCAAUCCUUUGCUAAAUUGGGAUGCACUCUGGGUAACCUUCCUUCUUCAGUAACAAAUGUGACUCCUAAGCUGCCCUGAGCUGGGUCUGCUCGAGUGGUCGCAGUGGUAUAAGAGCCUCACUCCUUAAAAGUGCUUUUUCACUCUUGCUCCAUAUGUGUUUGCAGAAGGUUGUUCCUGGGCAGCCUCCAGCACUAUGGCACCAGCCCCUGGUGAAACAUUAAUCUCUUCCCCUCACUCACUGGGAGUCAGAGCCCAACAGCCUUCCCCAAAUCACCAGGCUCUGUGGAGUAAGAAGCUGUGCCCAGACAUCUCACAGCUCCUUCUCCCUGAGCUUAGCUAGACACCUGGCAGCCCUGAGAACUGCUCCACAUGCA